rnacentral:rRNA from 1 species
GAUGAACGCUAGCGGGAGGCCUAACACAUGCAAGCCGAGCGGUAUUGUUUCUUCGGAAAUGAGAGAGCGGCGUACGGGUGCGGAACACGUGUGCAACCUGCCUUUAUCUGGGGGAUAGCCUUUCGAAGGGAAGAUUAAUACUCCAUAACAUAUUGAACGGCAUCGUUUGAUAUUGAAAGCUCCGGCGGAUAGAGAUGGGCACGCGCAAGAUUAGCUAGUUGGUGAGGUAACGGCUCACCAAGGCGAUGAUCUUUAGGGGGCCUGAGAGGGUGAUCCCCCACACUGGUACUGAGACACGGACCAGACUCCUACGGGAGGCAGCAGUGAGGAAUAUUGGUCAAUGGGUGCAAGCCUGAACCAGCCAUCCCGCGUGAAGGACGACUGCCCUAUGGGUUGUAAACUUCUUUUGUAUAGGGAUAAACCUACCCUCGUGAGGGUAGCUGAAGGUACUAUACGAAUAAGCACCGGCUAACUCCGUGCCAGCCGCCGCCGUAAAAC